rnacentral:rRNA from 1 species
UACGGAGGAUGCAAGCGUUAUCCGGAAUGAUUGGGCGUAAAGCGUCCGCAGGUGGCAAUGUAAGUCUGCUGUCAAAGAGUCUAGCUCAACUAGAUAAAAGCAGUGGAAACUACAUAGCUAGAGUACGUUCGGGGCAGAGGGAAUUCCUGGUGUAGCGGUGAAAUGCGUAGAGAUCAGGAAGAACACCGGUGGCGAAGGCGCUCUGCUAGGCCGUAACUGACACUGAGGGACGAAAGCUAGGGGAGCGAAUGGG